GUCUACGGCCAUGCCACCCUGAACAAGCAAGAUCCUAUCUGAUUUCGGAAGCUAAGCAGGGUCAGGCCUGGUUAGUACUUGGAUGGGUGACCACCUAGAAAGACCAGAUGCUGUAGGCA
rnacentral:rRNA from 1 species